GCUGGCUGCGUUACCUUGCAGCGGUAGAGAGAGUUUCUUUCGAUAAAGGACAGGAUCGAAGAGUGAACCGCUGCUACCAUGUUUCCAGCAGCAGCGACGGGUGGCGACUGCAUUUGUCACGGUGAUCUAGGGUUCUGACUUCGAUGAUAGGCGAAGGUUAUGAACUCUGAUGUUGAUGAACUUGUCUUAGAAAGGUAGAUUGGUGUCAUGCAGUCGAACUUAGGGUAGAUCCGCGAUGGUAACGGGUGAUCCUCAGUCUUCCGGCGUGUUAGUUAAAAGAAAGAGCUGAAAAGCUUGAAUAUCACAAACAAAGAGAGCAGAAAUUCACGGAGAAUAAGAAUGAGAAGAAGGAGCUACUGCGUCGCCAAAGUUCCGUAUGGAUUGAUGAAAAUGAACUCGAGAAAAAGAUAUUGAAUGCCAUUAUGGAUGAGUCCUAAGGUAACCAUGCUUUCAACUCGCAUUUUUUA
rnacentral:lncRNA from 1 species